CAUUUGGCAGUUAGUGAGGAAACUCUCCAUCUAGUACCUACUGCCUAUCUAUUUACUCUUAGUCAAGGGAAGCAACAAAACUGUUCAUUGAGGGAAAGAGAAUGUAAACAAUUUCAAAACCCAAAGCUAAUUAAAUAGCUUUCCUUUCUCUGCUUCAAAUUUGUGCAUUUUCUUAGGGCCCUCCACACCCUUCUAUGGGGAAGCAACAAGCAGAUCCGCAGGCUGCACUGCCCGAGAGCGCUCAUCAGUGUGGAGUGUCAGCGCUUCCUGCUUUUUUCCUCCCUCCAUCAUGUGGCCUGCAGGAAAGCCACUGGUGCAAUUAGCGGAGGUGGCUCCGGGUGCCCACUUUGCCACCGUGGCGCUGCUCCAGCUCCUUCCUUCCUUUGUUCCUAGCCAGAGGAUCUGUUUUGGUUUUCUCAGACUCCCCUAGCUUAAGUGGUCCUCACCCCCAGCAGACCCGAGAAAUGUAAACACCAAGGUUUCCAUGGUGCGCCCCCCUGGGUGGAGCUUGCUUGUGGUCUGUUGAAAUCUUGGCUGGAAGGAUCAGUGAGGACAUUUGGCAAGCUGGAAUCGGGGCAGCCUGAUAGUAAGAACACUGUGAUGGAUCUUUUCUGUGAGGUGACAAGAGCUGGUUUGGCAGAAAUGAAAUUCAUCAUCGAUAAAUGGAGGACUGGAUGGGGAGAGGCUCGUGAGAUGGCUAAGAACAGAUUGUUAAACACAGACCCCGCCGCAUAGAUAGAAGGAUAGACUCACGGCAAACCCGAAUCUGCACAUCAUUCUGGUCUCCCUGGACAAGUUAGUUUUGGGGUAGAGGAGGCUGUCAGGCACUGGAGUGUGACCGUGUUGAGCGGCACUUGAAUCACCGCAGCUGUUAGGGUGGAGCCGAGCAUCAUGGGUACCGUCUGCACUAAAGUCUGGAUGGACUGAUGCCAUGAAGAGAAAACUGAGGGGCAGGGGUGGCGAGAGUGCCUGGAAUAGCUCGCUGUCUGCGAGAGGAAUGUGUAGUGUUCAUUGCCGUCUGCUGAGAGCUGAACCUAGUUUCCCAGAGUCUGCACAGACCCCAGACCCUUGGACAGCAAUGUUGGGUAAGGUGGCCCACAGAUGGCAGGCAACACACAUAUUGUUGAGUUCACUCUGGAGGGGGAUUGGGGAUUUGUGAGUAGAAUGUAGAACUCACAUGAAAACCAAUAAAUCUGUUGUUUGCUUGUGCUGAUGAAGCUUUGAGCCAGUGGACCCGAGCACUGGGGUUCCUCCAGGAUGAGAGAGUUGAGUAUUAGCAUCCUAUAUCUGUGGGAAGGAAGAGUGCCUGACGGGAGCCUAAGACGGAGCCCCUGAGAAGGUCUUCCUCCUCUUCCAGAAAGGGCUGCCGAGGCAAACCUGGACCCCCCCCUUUCCAUGGGUGGGGUCUCUGCUGGAGGUGGGUAUGUUCAGUGCAUUGAGAGGAAUUGACAAGAGGCCUGGUCCCUUCCAUUUCCCCGGGGCAAACCCCUACAAAAAAGAGCAAGAGGAAGGGUCCAGCAGGUCCUGUGGUUGGUACUGUGGGUAAGGUUGUGCUCCUGCUGGCCAUAGGGGAGUCUCAAAAGAAAGCCUGUCCCCAGGUAACAGUUGUCCCGGUUCACUGCUCACAGGGCCUAAUGUCCACCCAUGUGCUAACUGUUCUUGUGGUUUUACCUCUUCCAGGCGAUUCAACCAAAAGCAAGCAGACGGCACGUGACUGCUUCCACUCAGUAUGUUUCAAGGGUCACCAUUGCAUCCUUGGGUCAUGAUUUUUAUCCUUUCCGUAGCUCAAUAACCUUUCUUUGUGUGACUUUGCCACAUUUCCGCGUCUGUUUCUGAAUGAGCCAGAAGACGGUCCCGGUCCCUACGGCAGACAGCUGUGUGCUUGGACAUCCGGUACAGGCAACAAUGUGGAUGCAGAUCUGGAAACACCUGCUGUCUCCUUGUGUUUCCCCAAACCGAUGGCGAAGCUUCCAGAUGCUGCAGCCAUGAGGGAUGCUGGCAAGGCAAUGGGCAGGGCUCACAGCCACUGCUCAUUGUGGGUGAGCUUACCCAGGAUCUGCACCUUUGGUACCAGUUAGGUGGUUUCUUCAUGACCUCCCAGGGGAGAGAGAAGGCCUCACCCAGCAAGGGAGGUUCUGCAGAGCUGGAGAGCCUGGAAUUUUCAUCCGUAGCACAACUGCCUGUGUGGGUCAUGGGGAGUAUUCCUACUGCCCAGCCAUGGCUACCUGGGCAGGUGAGCUCUUCUUCUGCUGAGCUGCCUUGUGAGUCUUCAGCUUGCUCUGACACUUCCUUCCUCAGCUGGCUUUGCAUAAAUGCACGUUUUGAGCAAAGAAGACUUACCCAGAAUGCGGUCAGUGCCAAGGUGGUUUAGCAAACAAGAGAUCAGGAAAGAAAAAGAGCAAGCUUGCUGAAUGAGAGUACAUACCAGUAAUCUCAACACUUGGGAAGGCUGAGGCAGAAGGAUGACAGAUUCCAAGCUAGCCUGGGAUGCAUAGCCAGACCCUGCCUCAAAAACAAUAAAAGUUUUUGUGGAAUCCCAUCAAAGCCUCGAAGCUGCUACUCACUAGUCCGUUAUGUAAAUGUGUGUGGAGAUUGUAGUUAGAUAAGAUAGGAAUCUCAUGACUUCAGUGUUGAGCUGUGGAAUGGCUCAUACGAAAGCUGAGAACACAGGGAUGGUAACACUGUCUUUGGAUGUCUCAAGAUCUGCACAUGUGACUUUAAAGGUAGUAGCUCAAAAUCUUGGCCGCAUAUAAGACUCAUCUGGGGGACUUUUAAGUCCACCACAUCUGGCCAACACUUUCAGGACCGGAUUUAAUUGGUGGGGACAGGGCACUCGGCUGCUGUAUUUUUUAUUUUUUUUAAUGACUUUUCCUGUCGACUCUUAAGAUACAGCAAACAUCCAGCAAACGCUGGUGGAGCCUCUGCUUGUGGCAGGAAGUCAGGUGGAGCAAAAAGAGGACAAGGAUGUCCCCAUGGACAAGGUCUGGAUGGCAGGACACAUGCACACACACCAAUGCACACAUGUACACAUACGCAUGCACAAGCACACAAUCAUGCAUGUGCACACACAUGCACACACAUACACACGCACACAUGCAUGCACACACAUGCACACACACAUGCACACGCCCAUGCAUGCAUGCACACCUCUGAGAACAGUGGGUGGUUAGAGCUGUAGUAGUCUCCCGUAACUUUAUCAGGUUUGGACUCAGAAGUGGAGUGGUGUGGGAGGCAGAGUUGAGAGUGAGAUGUGUUUUGGGGACUUGGGAGGGAAGAAAGGGAACACAGAUGGGCUUGGAAGGCAAGGAGAGGCUUCAGGGAGUGAUCUAGGGAUUUGUUUGUAGCGGGAGAGACCAGAGUGCAUCCAAAUGCUAGCAGAACCGCUCCAGCUGAGAGGAGGCUGUGAGGGGCUAGAAUGCAUGAUUGAUGGCAGGCAGUUCUAAGGAGGCGGGGGAGGGAAGGACUGGACCAGCCCGGUCUGCACAGUGUUGACCUUCUGUAGAAAGGACAGUGUAACGGGGUGGGAGGAGAGGGUGAAGCAGAGUUUGAGGGUGCCUGGCCUUGCUGGGGGGGUGCCAAGAGCAUUCCUUCAUAUUCAGGGGUCUCUGUACAUCUUUUAAGUACAUGGAGCCUCAGCCCACACCCUAGGUUCGCUUUUCUUUCUCCUCUCUCCUUCCACACGGCGGCAGACCUAAGGCUUCCAGCCUGGUGAGGGUUUGGUGUUGAGAGCCCAGCCACUGUCACCCCUGGAUCGGGUUCUCCAGUGGUGUGCGGGAUAUCAGCUAGGGUUUGCCCUACAGCUUGGACCCUGUAUUGGUGAUGAUUCCCUAGAGGAAUAGAGCUGAUAGGAUGGAUAUGAUCAAAUGAUAAAUGAUUUAUUAGAGUGGUUUAUAGUCUGUGGUCUCACUGCUCCAACAAUGGCUGUCUCCUCAAAGGAGCCAUCACAAACAAAGGGACAAUUGCAGACAUUGUGACCUCUAAGGCCUGACUUGGGAGUUGUAUUUUUGGAACAUGCUAUUGUCAAAGCCAACCACAGUCAGACUCAAUGGAAAGGAAGAUACAAUUUACCUCUCUGUGGAAAGGGUAGCUAAGAGCUUGCCACCAUGAUCUUCCGAACCGGAAGUGAGAACCUUGGGCCACAUCUUGAAGGCCUUUCUCUUGGGAACGUUGCCAGUACGUGUCUGACUCCUCACUUUAUGGGCUAGGAAUUCUAACUUGAGGCCAAAUCUCAUGGUUGGAGGAAUUCCUGGGUAAAGCAACGCUCAUCCUGAUCUUCCUCCUGCCACACGGCGGUGACCAUUUGAGGGGUGACAAAUUUGGAGCUGCUUGCAGGUGCCCACGGAACAACUGGCCUUAGAAGCUCACGAGGAUGGGGGACUCCCGCUCACACUUCCACUCAUCGUUCCCAGGCCCAAAUGGUGACAUCACAUCAACCUAACUUCAAGGGAGGCUGUGCUCUGACAGCCGCUACCACACCGUCUUUCUGUGUCAUCACCAGGGGCUUGGGGUGACGGCAGCCAUUUGUGACUCUGAAGAGAAGGUAAACAGAUGUGCAGGAGUGAGGUAAAGCCUGGGUGUGGCUGAGGUGCUGAGCUGGCAGCACUGCUGGGGCAGGAGGUCCUGAUUGGGUGGGAGUGGGUGAGCAGGUGUGAGCGUAUGGACAUCCAUUUCCUCCUCCUCUCGACUGUGGAAGUGACGUAAGUUCCAGGCUCGACCUCCCUCCCACAAUGGACCAUAACUUAGAAUUGUAAGCUUCCUGAGUCGCUUUUUUCUUUUGGUUCUUCAUGACAGGGUUUCUCUGUGUAGCCCUGGCUGUCCUGAAACUCAUGCUAUAGACCAGGCUGGCCUCAAAUUCACAGAGCUCUGCCUGCCUCUGCCUCCCGAGUGCUAGGAUUAGAGGCCUGCGCCACCACCGCUCAGCUCUGAGAGACUUUUUCUCAGGGUGUUUUUUACCACAGGGAGAGGAGUAAAAUAAUCACAGAGCUGAGGGACAGUGACCUCUUCUCUCAGUCUGAGGCUUCAUUCCACCCUCCCAAUGCUGUCUUUUGCAGGGUGGGAAUAAUUUAUUAUUGUUUCCUUCCACAGAUCAUGUUUUGGGUAGUAUGCCUAAAAUCUUAUUGCCAAACUCAAGAGUAUUUAAAUUUCCUAUUACGUUAACGUCCAGAAUUUGAAAAGUUUUGUCUUUUAUGGUUAGCUCUUCGACACACUUUUAGUUAAUUUUGGGGGAAGCGUGUUGUGUAUUUGGUCUAGAUUCUCUCAUUUAUUUAUUAUUUAUUCUGUGUGUGGAUGUCCAGUCGGUGCUGCACUGUCUGUUGACAAGGCUAUCUCGUCUUUGUUCCUUUGAAAGAGAUCCACCGGCCCUGUUUGGUUUUGUGUCUGGGCUCUCUGUCCUGGCUUUCUGUUUUUCUGGCACGUUUUCCAGGACGUCGUUGACUCAGUAGACUGAGAAGAACUGCCGCUUUCACAAUAUUGCCGUCCAGUUUAUGACCAGAGAGCCCCUCUUUAGAUUUGCUUCGAUUUCUUUCAUCACAGUUUGUAGCUUCUUUUGAAAAGGCUUUUGUUAGCCAGGUGGUGGUGGCGCACGCCUUUAAUCCCAGCUCUCGGGAGGCAGAGGCAGGUGGAUCUCUGUGAGUUCGAGACUAGCCUGGUCUACAGAGCUAGUUCCAGGACAGGCUCCAAAGCUACAGAAAAACCCUGUCUGGGGGGGGGGGGGAACAACCGAAAAGGCUUUUGUUUUUCUUUCUGUGUUGUGAUGCAUGGAUGUUUGCAUACCACAUGCAUGCCUGGUGCCUACAGAGGCCAGAGGGGGCAUUGAAUCCCCUGAAACGGAAGUUACAGAUGGCUGUGGGCCACCAUGUGGGUGCUGGGAAUUGAACUUGGGUCCUCCAGGACAGCAGCCAGUGAUCUUAACCACAGAGUCAUCUUUCCAAUUCCCAGCUUUAUAGUUUCUUGCAUGUAGAUCCUGAAUAUACUUUUGAUAUUUAUUCUUGAAAUAAUAGCUCAUUUUUGUUGCUCUGACAAACCGACAGCAGUUUGGUACUUCUGUAAUGGAAGCUUGUGACUGUGAGGAGACGGUCCAUAGACCCCCAGAAAGAGUGGGAUAAAGCCUGGGUGUGGCUUGGCUCCAAAGCCAGUACUACUGCCAAGGCAGGAGGUCCUAAGAGUCUGAGAAUGAACGAGCAAGUGAGCACACGUCCAUUUAUUUCUUUGUCCUCUUGGCUGUGGACGUGAUGUAAAUAGCUUAUUUACUACAUAGUUUUAGGGGCUGAAGUCUAAAAUGGGCUGUCCUUUCUGUUCUGCCUCCAGUGAGGGCCCCCUUGACUACACAUGGCAGACAGGUAGUAUCAUGGUGGGAAAAGGUACAAGAGAGAGAAAGUGCAGAGCAAUACAUUGUGAUGUUUUAAAAGAAAAUGGUCCCCGAAGGCAGUGGCACUAUUAGGUGAAUUUGUUGGAGUAGAUGUGGUCCUGCUGGAGGAAAUGUGUCACUCUGAAGGUGGACUUGGAGGUCUCAUAUGCUCAAGCCACACCCAGUGAGACAGACCGCUUCCUUUUGCCUGGGGAUGAAGAUGUAAGAACCCUCGGCUCCUUCUCCAGCAUCCUGUCUUCCUGCAUGCUUACAGUCAGAGACUGCUCUUGUGUUUCCCGGCCGCCCAGACCCAAAUAAUCACACAGAAACUAUAUUAAUUACAACACUAUUUGGCCGAUAGCUUAGAUGUCUUUCUAGUUAGCUCUUAUAUUUUAAAUUAACCCAUUUCUAUUCAUCUGUGUAUCACCACUAGGCUGUGGCAGACCCAUGUGGUUUAAUUUCAGCUUCGAGAAGUUCAUGUAUCUUGUAACAUUGCAACAUUGAACCUUCUGAUGGACAUAAUAAAAAAAUUGAACAAGUGGUCUUAAAUUUUUGGAACACUCUGGAUUCUUUUUACUUAGUUUUGUGUGUGUGUGUUUUAAUGUAGCCUUGACCGUCUGACCUGGAACUUGCUGUGUAGAACAGCUUGACCUCAGACCUGGAGAGGUCUGCUGCCUCUGCCUCCCCAGUGCUACAAUUAACGCCCAGUGCCUACCUUGUGUAAAACUUCUACUGCAGCCGUGAAUAUGAAUGCAUGUGCAGCGUCUCCAUGAAAAAUAUGUUUCUCCUCCUCCCCCCUUUUUAGAGUUGGAAGGGCGGUUUGAGAUAGGUUCUCACUGUAUAGUUCAGAUUGCCCUGGAAUUCACUACGUAGGCCAGAAUGGCCUCUGACUCAUAACAAUGCUCCUGCCUCAGGCUCCGAAGUGCUGGGACUAUAAUUGUGAGCCAUAAU